ACCAAUAGCCAGAGGAGCCGGCGUUGCAUACACCAGUUCGCGAUGGAUCACUGCUAAGCAACGUUACGCGUGGUUGGUAUCCAGAUGGGUGACCAUCUGGAUUAUCUUGUGCUGCUGGCU
rfam:Asian citrus Psyllid, Diaphorina citri - Florida Strain, whole genome shotgun sequence.